UUAAUUGAAACCAAAAAGCGGUAUGUCACUGUUAAUGACAAAAUUGAAUGUUAUUUCCAAUUAAA
rnacentral:tRNA from 1 species